AACGAACGCUGGCGGCAUGCCUAACACAUGCAAGUCGAACGAGACCUUCGGGUCUAGUGGCGCACGGGUGCGUAGCGCGUGGGAACCUGCCCUUAGGUUCGGAAUAACUCCCCGAAAGGGGUGCUAAUACCGGAUAAUGUCUUCGGACCAAAGAGUUAUCGCCUUUGGAUGGGCCCGCGUUGGAUUAGCUAGUUGGUAGGGUAAAAGCCUACCAAGGCGACGAUCCAUAGCUGGUCUGAGAGGAUGAUCAGCCACACUGGGACUGAGACACGGCCCAGACUCCUACGGGAGGCAGCAGUGGGGAAUAUUGGACAAUGGGCGAAAGCCUGAUCCAGCAAUGCCGCGUGAGUGAUGAAGGCCUUAGGGUUGUAAAGCUCUUUUACCCGGGAUGAUAAUGACAGUACCGGGAGAAUAAGCGCCGGCUAACUCCGUG
rnacentral:rRNA from 1 species